rnacentral:lncRNA from 1 species
CACCUCUAAUAACACACUCACCUAGGUAAGGAACAAUCAGACGUGUUCCAUUGCAUAACCCUUUCUUUUGAUUUAAAUUCCUUAGAAGCAUGAAAGGGCACCCAUUUUCAAUGUAAGCUUAUUCCACUUUCAAUGUAAUUUUUAAUAUAUCUAGGGUAUUAAUGUCAUUUUACUUAUUAAAUUUAGUAAAAUGAAAGAUUUUAGUGUGAUGUGGUUAUUUAGGG